UACGUAGGGUCCGAGCGUUUGUCCGGAAUUAUUGGGCGUAAAGGGCUCGUAGGCGGUUUGUCGCGUCGGGAGUGAAACACCGGGCUUAACUCGGUGCUUGCUUUCGAUACGGGCAGACUGGAGGUAUGCAGGGGAGAACGGAAUUCCUGGUGUAGCGGUGAAAUGCGCAGAUAUCAGGAGGAACACCGGUGGCGAAGGCGGUUCUCUGGGCAUUACCUGACGCUGAGGAGCGAAAGUGUGGGGAGCGAACAGG
rnacentral:rRNA from 1 species